CACAUCCCUUCGCGGCCCCGAGCGUCCGGCCUCCGCGCCCGUGCCGCCCGGCGCCCCGGCCUUGACCCCGGGCCCGCGCCCUACCCGUUGACGCCGGCCGCUCUGCGCCCAGGCACCAGCCCGCACCCCGGACGCGAGGUCUGACCCAUGACCCCGGGGACGCCCAGAGCCCAGUCCUUGGGAAGGGCCAGGCCCCUGGAGAGGAGCUUCUUCAGGGCGCGUCCCAGACUCUGCGUCUCGAGUGAACGCCUACUGUGUGCCUGGCUCUGAGCACGGGACUGUCGCUGCCACGGCAUCUUUAGGAACCUUCCCACUAACCCAGUGGGAAGGCACAAUGGCUGUUACCAGCGAUCGCUCUUCCCUCCCCAGUCAAUGCCAACUCCCCCCUGCCCCGCCUCAGAGACCCCGCUGUCUUUAGAUACAGGCCACCGCCAAGCCCUGGUCUGCCCCAAGAUCAAUUACUGCGCACCCGGUUCCCCUGGGGUCCUUCAGUUAAUCCUCCUCACCCCGAAGUCUGGAACCUGCCUUGCACAUGGAAGCGGUUAGCUACUUCGCUUCAGCAAAAGUUCACUUUCGGACCCAAGUUGGGAAUUACUAAUGUAGACAGUGAUUCCUUAUCAUCACACACGUUUUUUAAAAACUGCGGACAGGCCGAAAGAGGAGGAGCCGCCACAAAGCCCGCCACGUCUUCCUAAAUUGGUUUACCGCCUGAAGGCAUUGGUGCCCCAUCCCGGGUACUUAAAUGGGGGCCUGCCCUCUACUCCCCUCCCUCCAAAGUGUGGAGCCGGAAGCCACUUCUCCAUCCAGCUGUGAACUAAAUUUGGAUAAUAAUACACAUCCCUCAGGGUUGAUGUGAAGUUUAAAGUGCCGCUACUGGGGAUUAUGGAGGUAAUUAGAGACCCCCACCCCCACCCCCCAGUCCUCAGGCUGCGCGGGAAUCGCAGCGGCAGUAACCUCCACCUCACCGGGAUGCUUUACACCUUACUUUAAGAGUUUGCAAAACAAUGUCCAAUACCUGCCAUUCAUGCAUUCGUUAAUUCGAUUAAGUACUGAGAACGUAUUUUGUGUCAUACAUCGAUUUGGGUGCUGGAUAUGAAACAGCCAAGAGAACAGGCAGAAAUCUCUGCCCUCCUGUAGUUUGCAGUCUCGUGGGGGAAAGACAGACAAACGGGAGAAUGUGUCAGAGGGUCUCCAUGGGGUGGAGAAAAAUAAGGCGGAGAAGGGGAAUAGGAAGUGUGAGAUAAGAGUGAGGCUCAAAUACAAGAGAAGGCCUCUAUGAGAAAGUAACAUUUAAAGCCUGAAGAAAUUGAGGGAGCAAGCCGUGUGGAUGUCUGGGGAAGAACUGCGCCGAGCAUGAGGAAUAGCAAGUGCAAAGGCUGGGGUAGGAGUGUGUCCAAAAUAGUCAAGACAGAGCGAGUGUGAGGUUGGAGUAGAAUGGGUGAAGGGGAAAGUAACAGGAGAUGAAGCUGGAAAAAUGAUGAUGCUUAUGAUGCUUCUGGUCCCAAAACAAAGCAUUAUGGUUCUAUGAGGAUCUCCCGAAGAAAAGAUGUCAGGAAAGGUGCAGAGACCCUCCCCCACACACCACAUUGUUGUUCCAUCCUUCUCUGUGCCUUUGGGCAAGGACUCUCCGUUCUGUAGGGACCACCAGGUGGAAUUAAAGUCUACACUCCUCCAAGAGCUGAUCUUGGGGCGGCCCCACCUCCAUGCCCCUCUACAGCGUGCCAUUCUCAUAGAACACACUAGGACCUUUGUCCUCUGGAGCUGUUCAGUGCAGCAGCUCUGACCUCAUCCUUCUCCAGAAGCCUCCACCUUCUCUCCCCUCUCUCCUCCUGCGCUUUGUGUGUCCUGUUCUUCCACUUCGGUGACCUGUCUCCUCCCCUAAUCUGGCUCAGAGAGGGGUACCAGCUGCUGCUGCUGCUAUUGCUUCUUCUUCUGUUAAAGGUUUUUUAUUUUUUUCCAAUGACAAAGCUAUGCUCAUUCUGAAAACAUGAAAAAUAAAAAUGCUCAAAAAAUAAAA
rnacentral:lncRNA from 10 species